rnacentral:rRNA from 1 species
GACGAACGCUGGCGGCGUGCCUAAUACAUGCAAGUAGAACGCUGAAGGAGGAGCUUGCUCUUCUGGAUGAGUUGCGAACGGGUGAGUAACGCGUAGGUAACCUGCCUGGUAGCGGGGGAUAACUAUUGGAAACGAUAGCUAAUACCGCAUAAUAGUAGAUGUUGCAUGAUAUUUACUUAAAAGGUGCAAUUGCACCACUACCAGAUGGACCUGCGUUGUAUUAGCUAGUUGGUGGGGUAACGGCUCACCAAGGCGACGAUACAUAGCCGACCUGAGAGGGGGAUCGGCCACACUGGGACUGAGACACGGCCCAGACUCCUACGGGAGGCAGCAGUAGGGAAUCUUCGGCAAUGGACGAAAGUCUGACCGAGCAACGCCGCGUGAGUGAAGGAGGUUUUCGGAUCGUAAAGCUCUGUUGUAAGAGAAGAACGAGUGUGAGAGUGGAAAGUUCACACUGUGACGGUAUCUUACCAGAAAGGGACGGCUAACUACGUG